CACGUAGGCACCAAGCGUUGUCCGGAUUUAUUGGGCGUAAAGAGCUCGUAGGCGGUUCAGUAAGUCGGGUGUGAAAACUCUGGCUCAACCCAGAGACGCCACCCGAUACUGCUGUGACUUGAGUACGGUAGGGGAGUGGGGAAUUCCUGGUGCAGCGGUGAAAUGCGCAGAUAUCAGGAGGAACACCAGUGGCGAAGGCGCCACUCUGGGCCGUAACUGACGCUGAGGAGCGAAAGCGUGGGUAGCAAACAGG
rnacentral:rRNA from 1 species